UACGUAGGGUGCAAGCGUUAAUCGGAAUUACUGGGCGUAAAGCGUGCGCAGGCGGUUUUGUAAGUCUGCUGUGAAAUCCCCGGGCUCAACCUGGGAAUGGCAGUGGAUACUGGCAAGCUAGAGUGCGGUAGAGGGUAGUGGAAUUCCCGGUGUAGCAGUGAAAUGCGUAGAGAUCGGGAGGAACACCAGUGGCGAAGGCGGCUACCUGGACCAGCACUGACACUGAAGCACGAAAGCGUGGGGAGCAAACAGG
rnacentral:rRNA from 1 species